rnacentral:rRNA from 1 species
UACGUAGGGUGCGAGCUUUGUCCGGAAUUAUUGGGCGGAAAGGGCUCGUAGGCGGUUUGUCACGUCGGGAGUGAAAACUCAGGGCUUAACCCUGAGCCUGCUUCCGAUACGGGCAGACUAGAGGUAUGCAGGGGAGAACGGAAUUCCUGGUGUAGCGGUGAAAUGCGCAGAUAUCAGGAGGAACACCGGUGGCGAAGGCGGGUCUCUGGGCCGAUACUGACGCUGAGGAGCGAAAGCGUGGGGAGCGAACAGG